UUUUAUCAUGAUGUAAUCUGUUUUUCAAUCAUUGAUACAAAAUACAAGUUAAAAUGACUUAUUGAAAUGUUAUUUGCAUAGCAAGCAUGAAAUGGCCACGUUUCUAACAAGAGAAACACAAAGGAACCAACCAGCAGUCCAUCUGACACUGAUGCUCUGAACUCUAAUGGGAAACUAAAUCAAAACUAAAAUGUAUGAGGCAACAUUUAUGAUAAUAGAAAGUAAUAAUUAUGGAAUAGUGAACAAAAGUAAGAAAAAAACAAUAUGAAAGUUUAUUUUGUAGCAUUGUCUGUGGAUUUUCACAAAGGGGGUUCCUGGCCAGAAGCUAACGCUGGUUAAGGUUCCAUGGGAUGGAAAAGUUUGGGAACCGCGGCGCUAUAUGCAAAAAUCUACUGUUCAAUAAAGACUUUGUUUCAGAGAAUCAGCUGUAACAGAUGGAAGUCAUACAAAUAUACCCAAAUUCACCUGCCACCCGUGAGUGGCAGGUGAAUUUGUACACUCCUGUUGACAAGUGAUGGCAGAAUUUAAGACCUGCCAGCGAUUUCUCAAACAAAUCUGUUCCGCAACACAGAAAGUGGACAAGUCAGCAAAAAAAGGGGGAGUGAAAGAGAUGGUCAGACAAGUGAGCAAACCCUUAAUAAUUCCAACAAGCCGGUUCUGCAUUAUGACACAUGACGGCAGCUGCUUGCUGAGCUCCAGGCAGAAUAGCAGCAUUUGCAUGCAUGGAGGUUGGUGGUGUGAAGGCAGACGGAGGGAACCGGAGAGUUACUUGGACACAGAUGGAAUGAGACUUUCCCCGAAAUGAUUCCGAGCGCCGCAUGGGCGAGCAUUGACCUCCGCCUCUUUUUUAAGAGCCUGUCCUAUCUCCCUCUGUUUAUCUCUUUCACUUGAUCAAUCUGCCUCCAUCCCGGCGUUUCUUUACCCUUGACUGCCCACACCUCCAGCAGCCUGAUUCCCGGCCUCGCCGUAAGCUCUGCCGUAACACAAUGCUUCAUACUAGUAACGACGAAAACAUGAGGACUCACGAUGCACAGAUGCUGUCCUUUGCAGUCAUAACAACCAUCACAAGUUUCUUUAUGCAUGUGUACAAAUAGAAGUAUUUAUUAUUAUUAUUAUUAUUUACUGUAUAAAAUUAGCAUGCUGCUUAUUUCUGCUGUGUGUUUGAGCUCUUCACAAGCUGUGUUUCCAUUACUAAUGUUGAUAUUGUCAUCUAAAGACACAGCAGAGCCUCCCAGGGCUGCAGCCUCAGAUUCACCUGUCUACCCACAUCCUAUGUUGUUUGUUUGUGUUCAUUGGGCGGGCCGCACCGACACGUUAACUUCCCUCUGUGGAUUAGUAAAGUGUAUUCAUUCAUUAGCAAAACUUUGUCAGUGUUCCACGAAUGUCGAAGAAACACAAUUUUCCAAUUGCGCCUCUUCCGUUAAAUAAGAAACACAAUUAAAAUCACGUUAGUGAGUCUGUUCACGCCACGGCUUCGUCCUCCUACCACUUCCUGUCGUUGUCUUCUUUGUCGUUUUCGCCUGCAGUAACAUCCGGUUGUUGAUCACGUGACUCGUGUGAUGUGGGGAAAGAAGUGUUUCCAUUGCAGUUUUGCAAAAGACGAAUUACAGUAAUUUCGAUACAGUCAAAUUAAGCCACCUCAUCCUGCCGCAAAAACGUGAGGUAUUUUUCUAAAUUGCCGUGCUUCCCAUUAAGUUAAUUUAUUUUCAUAAUUCCAAUUUGCGCAAUUAUAUGGUCAAUAGAAACCGAUACAGUGGAAUGUAACAGUUUGUGUGUGUGAUAUAGAAAAGAGCCCCUCUUUCUUAGUGAUGUGGACAAGAGAUUCAGCCAAUCAAUGACCCUCCUCCCCACACUGGACUAAAUGAACAGAGGCAGAAGGAGUCCAGUGAUCCAGAGCAGAUAAAACAGCAGGGAGACGUUGGGUGGACUGCAGGCUGAUCCUUCAUUAAAGGUUGUUAGAGCGGAGAGAGAGAAAGGAAGGAAGUCUGGAAGUGAAAAACACGCCCUUCUGACCGCCAGACAUGGACCAGGCCCCGAAUUCACAACUUCAACCCAGCAGCUGUAAACAUGAUGCACGGCGCUGCAUAAAUAAUCCAUUUUUAUGAUAGUAAAGCUGUUUUUAAUGAAUGCUUAAACGUUUUCUAAAACCAGCAGGUGCUUUAUGGUGUUAUUGAUUUUUUUUUGUUUUGCUUUUGGUGAUUAGUGACUUUGAUUGUUGACAUGGUAAUGGUGAUGACGUUUUGAAAUAUAAACACGCGACAAGCUCCUUAGGUUUCACAUGCUAAUUCUACAAAGAUGAGGUUGUAAAGACAGAAGAGAGGAGGAAAUAAAAACUAUUAAACUUUAGCAAUGUUUUGUUUUAAUUAAGAAUAAUAAUAAAAUGUUACCCUUUGUUAUGGAAUCGACGUUUGGCCCUCUUGAUGAAAGACAGACCUCAGGUUUUUAAGAAAAUGCACACUUGUCAAUCAAUGAUUAAUUAAUCAUUAAUCAUUAAGUUCAAUCUACAACAGAUUAACUCAUUAAGCAUUAAGGGAAAACUUAUUUUUACCACAAACCACAUUAGGAGAUGUACAAGAGCUUCAAGAAGUAACCAUGGAAACACAACAUAAAGAGGCACCAAAAUAAGAAUUUUUAUGGUCAUAAUCAUCUCUGCUGGGUUCAUUUUUUUCCUUUAUUCCUUCAGUCACUAGUCAGUAUCAAUAAAAACACUUUAUAUGACCAGAGAGCUUUUAUUCAACUAAACCUUCAAACGGUUAUGCCGGGAAGAGGCCACAUCUUUCAAAGCCCAUAUGACGCAUAAUGUAGGGACCACAGAAGAAGAAAGUGCCAUAUUUGCAUUAUUUGCUGAUAUGUAGAAAGAACUAAACAGCUAUUAACUGACUCUCAUUGUUUGCUCUUUCAAUAAUCACUGGUUUUAUAAUGUUUCAUAAUGUUCUUAUCUCUGCAGAAAAAUACUUUAUAUAUAUAUAUGAAUAAUACAGUCACAGAUUCCUGCUUCUUAAACUGUCUUUAACCAUAUGGGCCUAAUCAGUUUCUUUAGCUCAGAUCUCCAGCUGUUGCCAUGGUGAUAGCCCCAGGUGGCAGAUUGGUGGACGUCAGAAUCCACCGCACUUCUCACGGUGCUGAGCUAUCAAACCUAUCUCAAUUAGUGGCCAACAAUAGUCUCUCUGCAAUUAUCGUUUGCUGAAUGAACCAAUUAACACACUUUCCACCCUUCAUCUUAGUUAAAAAUUCUCCUGCCUUCUACUUAUUCCAAGGUAUUUCGGCCCUUUUAGCUGGCCAGCUCUGACGCACACACUCUCACACGCUGUUCUCUGAAGCUGCUACGCUCCAGCAGUCUUCGCUCCUUUCCAACCCUAUUUUGUUCUCUUUUGCCUUUUGACUGCAUCUCCUCUCACUGUGGGACAGGAAGAAUCACAGCACAGGGCUGCAGUUUCCAGGAAAAGCUACACCAGAAAUCACUUAAUAGUCUUAAACUAAAAGUUAAAUAUACCUGCAAUAUAUGAGCAACAGGAAUUGCUUGAUUAAAAGCAGUGAGGUGAUUGGUAACAAAGUGAAGUUCUAUACUUUAUAUGCCCUGCAACAUUUUUGUUUCUUUUUUGCAUUCUUUGUUAGGAUACAACAUUAUCAUCACGUCUUUUGCAAAGAAAUUACUUGCCUGAAUGAUUUUUAUCUCCGUUCAGCACUCCGGCUGGGAUUUCUUCCAUUGAGGUUGAUUUCUACUGGCUCAAUCAGAAAACACAAAGAGGAGUUGUAAAUGAUUGACAUCGACUUUUUUGUUUUAGAACCGUAGCCUCCUUUAAGGUUGUAGUUUGGCAAUGGCAAGGAAGGAAGUGAACAAAACCGUUUAGUCCCUGUUGGCGACGCUACCAAAUACUGAGCAAUUAAUGUCGGAGAAAGAGGAAUGUUUAAAAACUUUAUUAUUGACAAAGUUGUUGUGGCUUUCCUUCUCCUUCGUUGAUUUGAAUAUUUACAGCGCACAUAAUUUCUGGAAAGCUUUAUCAAGUUAGCACAUUACAUAAGUCAUGGCUAAAACUUAACAACUGGGAAAUAUUUAAAACCUUAAAGCCCACGCUUCCAGCAAGCAAUUUCAGACCCUUACCAGGCUAGCUCUGGAGAAGUAAAAAGAUGAUUUUACCUUUUUUCUUCUCUUCAGCGAACAUUCAGUUAAAAGAAAUACCAUGUCGUGCUAGCAACACUCUUUAGUGUGGAUGCUAUUACUGCGUAAAAGUGAGCUACUUUCUGUAUCAGUAAGAUAUUUAAAAUGAAGUUAGAGAAAUCACAGAGAUGUAAGAUGCCAUUUAAAAUAUGUAUGCGGUAUAAUGUGUUGUUCAAACUGACAAAGUGAAAGAGAGCAAGUCUUUCAGAAGAUAACAGAAAGGUGUUGCACUGUUAUAUCUUCUGUCAGAUAAUUCUAGAUUUACAAUUGCUAUACUAUUUGACACUUGAGGACUCUACAUAACUUUAUAUAUCUGUAAUAGCAAUGCUAAACAUGCUUACAGUUCAAUUUAUUAAUAAGCUAAAAUCGCUUUAUAAAAACAUUGCCUUACUUAAUUUUGCUCUAGAAUGACUGAAACAUACUGAUACUGACCACCUGAACUAAGCAGGCCAGAAAUAUUAUUUGGAAUUAUGACCUUAUAGAUAAGAAACAUACUAUACAAUUUUAGUAUAUAGUCUUUAUUGUCUCUUUAUAAUAGCUUACAAGUGUAAUAAAUAAAUUUAAACAGUCUAAUUACUAUUAUUACAUGAUCUAAUUUGGAGGUUUCCUUAUUGCUCCUUUAUAAAUGACAUAAUUCAUAUAUUUCUAUCUCCAACACAGGGCUGUGUUUUAGAUGAAUCAUUGUAAAAUUAGCUGGUUAACUCUUGCCUUUCAUUGAUUUGACCUUUUUUUUUUUUUUUUCCAAAUCUGUGUUUGUACAACACCCACCCACACUACAUGACCAGUGAACUCACCAGAGCUGCGGUUUCAUUACUGACUGAGGUCCCAGCGGCCAGAUCCUGUUUAUUUUUACACCCAACAAUCCCGCCUGCAGGGGGAAAAAAAGAAGUGUUCAAUAUUUUAAAUAGGGUUUCUGUUAGAGAGAAGCCUUUAGUGAUUAGUAAUUCAACCCAGAGUGUUUUAUUAAUUGAUGAUUCAAACCACUGAGGAGGAGGAAAAAAAUGCUAAUAUAGAAUAAGAUCUGCUUUGUCAUAUUCUGGAUUCAAGAUGAAAGUUUACUGUGAAAAUAAAGCCUGCACAUAAACCUCUGACAUAAUAUCACCUCCAAAAACUUUUUUAAAAAGUUGCAGUGUGCAAUGUUUGGCUUUUCAAUUGUGAGUUUGUUGUCGGUCCUGCUCCAUCUGCCGCAGCUACUUUACCAGACUCAAACUGUGAUAAAAGCCGAGCAUAAGCUGGUCUACAGGGAUGUGUGCUCAGCUAAAAACUGUCCUAAUAUCUUCCUGUUUUUGUAUUCCCUGCCCAAAAACUAAGGAAAUAUUGAAACUUUAAAAACAUCUGAGAGAAAUUUGUUCUGAUUCUCACAAAUAUGGAGGACGAUUAGGGCCAAAAAUCUGACUUUAAACUCAGAACUGUGACAUAUUUUUUUAUCAGAUUAAAGUCAAAAUUAUGAGAGAAAAAAUAUCUGAAUUCUAAUAUUAAAGUCAGAAUUAGUUUGUUUUUCCCCAGGUGGUCCUAAUGCUUUUCCUUUGGAUUUGAAAGCACUUUGAAAUGCCUUGUUGCUGAAAAUGUGCUAUAUAAAUAAAAUUACCUUACCUUAGAAACAAAAUUCACAGUAAAUUGUUAUUUUAAAGUGUAAUUUAAAGUGUAGUUAAUGCCAAGGCUAAUGUAGUCUUUCAACAUUGUGCUGUGACGUCUUGUACUAUUAUGAGACGAGCAGUGACAGAUCAGAGGCUGACUUUGGCACCGCAUGGUGGCGUUCAUGCAGACUACGGAAAUGUCGCUACAUAUUUCCUGUGUAGAGUAAAAUGAUUAACAGGCUCAUCUAAAAUAAGAAAUGUUCAGAUUUAUCAAGUCGGUGUUAAAACGAUCACAUUUUUGUUUUCAUCUAUUUUUUUUUCCAGUGUGUAUUUUUUACAGCUGUCUGGUUGCCUCCUUAUGAUGGAGUGUAUAAACUAUACACAGAAGGAAAACAAGAUAAAUCUGUGAAUUUUGUACAAACUGUAGGAUUGUUUUUUUUUCUACUGAACUUGUUAUCUCUACAUGUUUCCUUGGUAACGGGUGGAGGUGAGGGUGGGAGGGGGGUUGAGCUGCAGAGUGGGUGGGCCAGGCCAGGGGAGGAAGUCAGAUUUUUCUGUAAACGGUCUGGGACUGUGCAAUGGCUACCUGUAUUUAUUAAGAGUAUUCAGAGUAUAAAAGUGGAAAAAAAAUAUGUCCUCUUAUGAUAAAUGAAAUAAAGUGUUAUAUUUGCAUGA